GCCAGGCCCCAUGGGUGCCUGAGCACGGCGGUUUUAGCUUUCAUUGACACACGCUUUAGCCAAUUGGACCCUCACCUAUUCGUGGACAGGAAGGGGAGAAAAUUGCAAGAAACAACUUUGGUUCAGCGGCAGAGAUGAAGUGCUCUGCCGUCGCUGAGAUUGCUCAAAUGGAUCGAGAAUGGAACGACCGAGAGGUCUCUCUUUUCAUGGCACAUUUCUCAGCGUUCACAGGGGGCAAACGGCAAAGAGGACAAGUGUUGCCAGCUGCGACUGCAGACAGAUUCCUCCAGAUGUGCUGCGCUCUGAUUGGCUGUCCAAGUUGGUUCCUCACUGGUCUCAGUCACUGAGUCUCAGAUUUCCAUUCUGAUGCAGAAGAAGGCGCUAAGGAUUAUGGGUGGAGCUGAGCCUCUUAUGUCAGGGGUGGCUGUCCACCCGUCAGCCAGCUGGUAAGGAAACAGCCCGCGACUAAAGAAUCAAGGAGGAAACAAGAUGUGAUCGACUGCUGUAUUCUGAGGUGGAAAUGUAUAACUUAAUAAAGGGGUAUAUCUGA